rnacentral:rRNA from 1 species
GAUGAACGAGGGAGGCGUGCCUAAUACAUGCAAGUCGAGCGAACAGACGAGGAGCUUGCUCCUCUGACGUUAGCGGCGGACGGGUGAGUAACACGUGGAUAACCUACCUAUAAGACUGGGAUAACUUCGGGAAACCGGAGCUAAUACCGGAUAAUAUAUUGAACCGCAUGGUUCAAUAGUGAAAGACGGUUUUGCUGUCACUUAUAGAUGGAUCCGCGCCGCAUUAGCUAGUUGGUAAGGUAACGGCUUACCAAGGCAACGAUGCGUAGCCGACCUGAGAGGGUGAUCGGCCACACUGGAACUGAGACACGGUCCAGACUCCUACGGGAGGCAGCAGUAGGGAAUCUUCCGCAAUGGGCGAAAGCCUGACGGAGCAACGCCGCGUGAGUGAUGAAGGUCUUCGGAUCGUAAAACUCUGUUAUUAGGGAAGAACAAAUGUGUAAGUAACUAUGCACGUCUUGACGGUACCUAAUCAGAAAGCCACGGCUAACUACAUG